ACGCGGUAGGAAUCUACCUAGUAGAAGGGGAUAGCCCGGGGAAACUCGGAUUAAUACCGUAUACCUCCUUCGGGAGAAAGAAGGCCUCUCUUUGAAGCUUUCGCUAUUAGAUGAGCCUGCGUAAGAUUAGCUUGUUGGUGAGGUAAAGGCUCACCAAGGCGACGAUCUUUAGCUGGUCUGAGAGGACGAUCAACCACAUUGGGACUGAGACACGGCCCAGACUCCUACGGGAGGCAGCAGUGGGGAAUAUUGCACAAUGGGCGAAAGCCUGAUGCAGCCAUGCCGCGUGUGUGAAGAAGG
rnacentral:rRNA from 1 species